rnacentral:lncRNA from 1 species
GAGACCAUUUGUUUUGUCCCAUUUUCUUCAUUUUCUCUUCAUUUCUUCAAGCUAAAUCAAAAGGGAGUGUUCUUAGGAGGAUUAUAUCCAAGAAAACAAAUUAAGUGACAACUGAGAGAGUUAUAGAGCUUGAGAGAAACAAAGGGAAGAAGCUGGAAAUUGGAAGAGGAGGACAUGAUUUUUGUAAAUUUUUGCAAGAAUUCAUUGAAAUAAGUUAAAGUAGCAAAGGUAAGCAACAUACCCUUUAGUAAUUUCGUUUUUCUCUCUUGUUCUUGCAUGAGGAGAAGAAAACCUCCAAGUUUAAAAUUCUAGGGUUCAUGUAACUAUUUUGGGGGAGUAAUUGUUCUUGUGAAUUUUGAGAUUAAUUGCAUGAUAAUGGCUUGAUUUGCUGAAAAAUAGAAGGAAUAAAUUGAUUUGAAAUUAUGAGUUUUGGGAUUGCAACAGGGCAAGAACUUCGGCAGCCAUAUGUUGACUUUCCACCGUUGGAUUAGAUUGAUUUUUGGAUAUGUUAUUGUACUCAAUGUUACCGAUAUUCUGACCGGAGGGAUUGUAAAUAGCUAACUUCGUUUGAGGGCUGUCACCGGAGGAACAUUUCUGGAAAAUCACCCUUCAAGACAGCCUUGUUCGUCGGACGUUAUAUCAUUGUUUCACUGUUGGAUUGGUCUGGAUUUUGGAUAUGUUGUUCAUCCAGAUGUUACAUAAAUGCUGAACGGUUAAGAUCGGAAACAAACACUCCUACCAAAAACUGUACUUCCCGAACAGUAGGUCUUCAAUUUUUAGGUCAGUCCGGUAUUGUUCUGAUAUCGGGAGAUUUAACCGUUGGAUGUAUGUGAAUUUUGGAUAUGUUAUUCUAAUGAUGAUGAUGUAUAAUUACACCAUUUGGAUAUAUUGAAUUCUAAAUUUACAGAAUGAUGUUUUAAGUUUGGUUUGAGAAAUAUUGAAUGAGAAUCUGAGGUUUAGCAUAAAAAGUAUGUUUUGGGACUAAGGAUAAUGGCAAUGGGUUUAAUGAUGAUGGUUGUGUUUGUGUUGUGUUUGAGUCAUGUUUGUUGUGUUGAUAAGUGAUGGUAUAGUUAAAUUCUAUAAAGAAUAGUGAUUGAUUAAUACUUUGGUUGUGUUGGAAUGGGAAAUCAUGGUAAGGGAUGUUGUAAGUUGAAUUAUGAUAUAAGGAAUCAUUUUGAGUGCGCUUUGGAAAAAUUUGGCAUGUGUAGUCAUUGAUGAAAUUUAAGUUAAAUUACAUUGUUUGGUGAUAGAUUAAAUGUCUUGGGACAGUAGAAAAUCGGUGACGAGAAUUCAUGUCUUUGAACAUCCAUGGAAGUAUUUGAUUUUGUGAAUUUAUGAAUAUUAUGAAUAAAUCGGGAAGAUUCAAAUAUUGAUUCAAGAUGUUAUAUUAAAAAUGUAGGAGAAGCAUUCACUCGACUUCUCAAGAGCUCGUAUAGUAGGAGCUUAAGGAGGGAUUGCAGGAGGGGCACAACAACAACAAGGAAGAGCGAGUUGAGCUUCUGCAGCUGGUAGGUGAUUCAUCACCUUAUUUUGUAAUUAUUAGUUUUUCUUAAAUAUUUAUGUUGUGUGUUUAAUUGAUGUUAAAAGAAUGAAACAAAUGAAUAAGUUGAGUGAUUAUUACAAAUGAGAAUUAUUGGUAAUUUAAGAGAAAUUACCGAAAUUAUUUGGCUAACAAAAGAGGUUAGCCGGGUGCUGGGUAAUUCGUAUGGAAUUACCGGAUUGAUUGUGGCAACCAAGACGGGUUAGCCAGAUUUCUUGGGUAAUUAAGAGAAUUACCGGGUUUAUUUGUUAACAAGGAAGUUAACUGGAUAUGGGGUAAUUCAUAUGGAAUUACUAGAUUGAUUGGCUAACAAAAAAAAAGGUUAGCCGGAUGUUGUGUGGAAUUACCGGAUUAAUUGGCUAACAAAAAAAAAGGUUAGCCGGAUGUUGUGUGGAAUUACCGGAUUAAUUGGCUAACAAAAAAGGUUAGCCGGAUGCUAGGUAAUUCGUAUGGAAUUACCGGAUUGAAUUUGGCAACCAAGAUGGGGUGGCCAGAUUUCUUGGGUAAUUAAGAAAAUUACCGGGUUUAUUGGUUAACAAGGAAGUUAACUGGAUAUGGGGUAAUUCGUAUGGAAUUACCGGAUUGAUUGGCUAACAAAAGAGGUUAGCCGGAUGUUAGGUAAUUCGUAUGGAAUUACUGGAUUAAUUGGCUAACAAAAAAAAAGGUUAGCCGGAUGUUGUGUGGAAUUACCGGAUUAAUUGGCUAACAAAAGAGGUUAGCCGGAUGCUAGGUAAUUCGUAUGGAAUUACCGGAUUGACUUUGGCAACCAAGAUGGGGUGGCCAGAUUUCUUGGGUAAUUAAGAAAAUUACCGGGUUUAUUGGUUAACAAGGAAGUUAACUGGAUAUGGGGUAAUUCGUAUGGAAUUACAGGAUUGAUUGACUAACAAAAUAAGUUAGCUGGAGGCUGGGCAAUUCGUAUGGAAUUACCAGAUGUACUGGUAACUAAAGAAGGUUAACCAAAUGUGUGGGUAAUUAUAUGAAAUUACCAGAAUUAUUGGCAAUUGAGAUGAGUUAGCCGGAUAGUUAAGUUUUGAAAAGAUUAUGUGAAUUAAUUGAUUGAAGUUUGAAGUAGUAAAUUCUAAAUGUUAUGAGUAAAAUAAUUAAUAUAUGACUAAGAUAUUGAGUAAAUUAAUUAAUGUGGUUAUUGGGUGGACACAAUGAUUUGGAGAUUGGAGGGGAAUUGAUAGAUAAUUGAUUACCAUAGUGUUGGUGGCUAAGGAUACAUUACAGUGAUACUUAACACCAUAAUGAUGGUGGCUAAGGGCAUAAAUUGAUACUUGGCACUGUGAUGAGGGUGACGAAGGUUAUGUGAAGGAUGCUUAGUGGCCGUAGUGUCGAUAACUAAGAUUGUGUGCAAAUGAUACUUGGCAACAGUGGUUACAAUGCAUAUGAUGUUAAUAAGAAAAAAUGAAAGGGAUUCGGUAUGAAUGGAAGAAUCAAAUGGCAUGGAUUAACUAUCCAGGUUUGGAUUGCUAAUGGUAUCGAGGAGGUUUCAUUGGUGCUGGUAUUUUUUAAAUUGAUUAGUCUAACCCAAUAUUAAAAGACUAAUGAUACUAAUGAGAUUUAUUAGUUCGGCGAUUACCUUCUAGCAACAGAUUUAGAAAAGGAAAAAUAUUGAUUAAUUAUUCCAAAAGAAUGAGAUAAACUAAUGAUACCAAGAGAGGAAUAUCUUGGUAUCAAAUGAGAAUUGAUUUAUAAGGAGAUGGUGUUUGCAAACCGUUGAGUUGUGUUGAGAUUUUCGAGAUGGAAUUAUUCUUGGCAAAUAAGAUAGGAUAUUAGAUGGAUAUUGGUAAUAGAUGAAAAAUAUAUGUUGUAAAAGAGGUUUAUGCCUAAUUUUAUAUAUAAAAAGAAAUUCCGUAGAGAUUAUUGUCUGCCAUUGUUAUUGCUUGUUACUAUCUUUUAUAUUUAUGUGUACAUGUUAGUUUCUAUUUUCAGGUCCAUCAGGGUUGCGUCAAGGGUAAUACUAGUUUAGUUAUCUUUUGCUUUUGACCAUGUAAAUUAUUUGUAAAUUAAAAGACUUAUUUCCUAAAACUUGAGAUGUAAUAUUAAUCCGUAAUUUUGAAUGUAUAUCUUUAAUCUAAUGGUUGAAACUCUUAGUACCUUUUUGACCAUG